rnacentral:rRNA from 1 species
GUAUCUGCCUUAGGACGAGAAUAACCCCGGGAAACUGGGGCUAACUCUCGAUAGGUGAAGAACUCUGGAAUGAGUCUUCACUCAAAAAGCUUCACGUUAUCCUCGUGAAGUCGCCUAAGGAUGAGGCCGCGGCCGAUCAGGUUGUUGGCGAGGUAACGGCUCACCAAGCCUUUUACCGGUGCGGGCCGUGAGAGCGGGAGCCCGGAGAUGGGUAUUGAGACAAGGACCCAGGCCCUACGGGGCGCAGCAGUCGCGAAACCUUUGCAAUACAACGAAAGUGUGACAGGGCUAUCCCGAGUGCCAUCCGCUGAGGAAGGCUUUUACCCAGUCUAGAUAGCUGGGGGAAUAAGGAGAGGGCAAGUCUGGUGUCAGCCGCCGCGGUAAUACCAGCUCUCCGAGUGGUGUGGAUGUUUAUUGGGCCUAAAGCAUCCGUAGCUGGCUAGGUCAGUCCCUUGUCAAAUCCACCGAAUUAAUCGUUGGAUCGCGGGGGAUACUGCUUGGCUAGGGGACGAGAGAGGCAGACGGUAUUUUCGGGGUUAGGGGUGAAAUCCUAUAAUCCCGGGAAGACCACCAGUGGCGAAGGCUGUCUGCUAGAACGCGCCCGACGGUGAGGGAUGAAAGCUGGGGGAGCGAACCGGAUUAGAUACCCGGGUAGUCCCAGCUGUAAACGAUGCAGACUAGGUGUUUGGACGGCCACGUGCCGUUCUAGUGCCGCAGGGAAGCUGUUAAGUCUGCCGCCUGGGGAGUACGAUCGCAAGAUUGAAACUUAA